rnacentral:rRNA from 1 species
UACGUAGAGGGCAAGCGUUGUCCGGAAUCAUUGGGCGUAAAGAGCGCGUAGGCGGCCCGAUAAGUCCGCUGUGAAAGUCAAGGGCUUAACCCUUGAAUGCCGGUGGAAACUGUCGGGCUAGAGUCCGGAAGAGGCGAGUGGAAUUCCUGGUGUAGCGGUGAAAUGCGCAGAUAUCAGGAGGAACACCGAUGGCGAAGGCAGCUCGCUGGGACGGUACUGACGCUGAGGCGCGAAGGCGUGGGGAGCAAACAGG